UACGUAGGGAGCUAGCGUUGUCCGGAAUCAUUGGGCGUAAAGCGCGCGUAGGCGGCCCGGUAAGUCCGCUGUGAAAGUCAAAGGCUCAACCUUUGAAUGUCAGCGGAUACUGCCGGGCUAGAGUCCGGAAGAGGCGAGUGGAACUCCUGGUGUAGCGGUGGAAUGCGCAGAUAUCAGGAAGAACACCUGUGGCGAAAGCGGCGCACUGGACCACAACUGACGCUGAGGCGCGAAAGCUAGGGGAGCAAACAGG
rnacentral:rRNA from 1 species